rnacentral:lncRNA from 1 species
AAAAUGAUGUGUUGAGUGUGUUGCUCAUUACAUUCUUCCACGAGUAGCUUUAGGUGAUUUUGUGUGGUGGAGAGAAUAUAUACAAGAAACUAAAAGACACUAUGGGAUGUAUUUUCAGUCACAGGAGUUCAUUAAACAGAACUGGACAUUCAAAACUGGACUCCUGAAUUCUGCCUGCAAAGCUUGUAAACUUCAGGAAUGUUUCUGAAGAUGUCAGACUGUAUCAUUUCAUGGACUGGACAGAAUACUAGUUCAGCAGAAAGGAUCCCUGAAAUCAAAUAAACCAUUCCAU